rnacentral:rRNA from 1 species
UGGGCGCAGCCUGAUGCAGCAAUGCCGCGUGAGUGAUGAAGGCCUUCGGGUUGUAAAGCUCUUUUGUCCGGGAAGAAAAUGACGGGACUAAUAUCGGAGGCGCAUGACAGUUCCGGGCCAACAACCCCCGGCUAACUACAUGCCAGCAGCCGCGGUAAUA